rnacentral:rRNA from 1 species
GUGCCAGCCGCCGCGGUAAUACGAAGGGGGCUAGCGUUGUUCGGAAUCACUGGGCGUAAAGCGUACGUAGGCGGACCGAUCAGUCAGGGGUGAAAUCCCGGGGCUCAACCCCGGAACUGCCUUUGAUACUGUCAGUCUUGAGAUCGAGAGAGGUGAGUGGAACUCCGAGUGUAGAGGUGAAAUUCGUAGAUAUUCGGAAGAACACCAGUGGCGAAGGCGGCUCACUGGCUCGAUACUGACGCUGAGGUACGAAAGCGUGGGGAGCAAACAGGAUUAGAUACCGUGUAGUCCCG